AAAAAACAAACUAAUUUUUGCUACCGCUAAUUAGCAUGUCGCUAACCACGUUAUACAUCCAGUCUCUUAACUAUAACAGUUCGAUAUAGCACAAAAUUACAGGCAUACACAAUCAUAUUCACCUCUUGCAGGUCACACCAAAGUUUUUUUGUUGUAAGGACCACGAGUAGUCGACCUUCAUAACAAAACAUUAAUGCUUCCCACACCACGAUGCCUCCUUCAUUAGCGCUCACAUCAUAGCGUCUGUUCUCCGUUUCUCAUGCCUGCUCACUACUCCUCACACAAACCUGUCCCAAUAGUCCCGCCCCUUACACAGUGAUGUUACUCUGAUUGGCUGAAGUACUAACACAACCAAAAGCAAAACGGGAUUAAAUUAUUGACAGGUGACAGGUAACAGAUUAGGUUACACAGAUAAACACAGCUUCUUCUCUACUUUUCUCUACAGAUAGAAACGUUAAAACUUAUAUACGUAAUUUAACUUAACUAGUAAAUAGUACUUAUUUAUAACUCUACAUAUAUAUUAUACUUUACAGACUGGGCCUGGGCUCGUUGUAGGGAAAUACAACUUGUUUUAUAUGUUACUUAAUAAAUGUAUAUUUGUAAUACUCUUGGCUAUUCUUAUAAAGACCACCACAACUGUAUUUUGAUUGCAAAAAUAUUCACAAGUAUUUAUUUACAACAUUAAAUAAAAGAUAAAUGUAUCUUAGAAUAAAAUAAAACAAAUCACAUAGGCAUGAAAAUUUGGAAGGAAAAAACUAAAACAAAAAAGAAAAAAACUUCACUUUCCCAAAAGGAAAAAAAACCUUUCUGUGGUUAUAUUGAAAUUAAACAAUUAUUCAUUCCCUCUGAAAAAAUGUCCAACCCCGUUGCAGGCCUGUUCGAUGACACUUUGUGUGCGGUGAGGCCUAAAAACUGGAAUGGCCGCUUCACUCAGAAACUGAGCAUAAACAAAAAGCACGUGCAUGUGAAUGUUAGUACUCACGAAUCCAGGUUAAGUCAGUACAGCAAAAGCAAUGGCAAUGGCGAUGGUAAUGGCAAAGGAAGAAGCACAGCACAGACGAUCACGGCAGGGCACACAGAAACAGCAGAGCAGAAACAGCAGGGCCUUCGGUUGGAAAACCAGUCUCUCUCCCUUUCUCUCUCUCACCAACGUCCGUCUCCUUAGAGCAUAUUAUCUGAAUUGAGCCACAUUAUCAAACACUAUUUCUAUUGAAUUAGCGUUAGCUUUGCUUUAGCUUUAGAGAUAUCACAAUGCUAAAACUACAACAUAUGAGCACAUUGGCACAGAAUGCUACCGCUAAUUAGCAUGUCGCUAACCACGUUAUACAUCCAGUCUCUUAACUAUAACAGUUCGAUAUAGGUCCGUGUAUCUUUUGGUCAUUCGAUUUUUUGUUUAAUUUUGUAAGUAGAAAAAUGAAAAACAGCUCCUUUUUCGUUUUUUAAUUUUUUGCAAAAAACGAAAAACAAGAAUUCGGCUUAAUUUUUAGUUUUUCGUUCAGGGGUAGAAAAAUGAAUAAACAGCUUGAAUAUUCGAUUUCUACACGUGGGCGGGAAUUAAACUCCCCUUUCUGCUGAUUGGUCAGACAAAACAAAAAAGAUCAAACCAUGCUGUCAUCAGUCCUUCUGCAGUUCCGCGCGGCAGAAUAAUGCUUUGACUUGGGUAUAUUCAGAGCUGGGUAGAUUACUUACAAAUUGUAAUUGUAAACCCAUUGGUUAAAUGCUGUAUAGCCAACGGAUUAAUGACUGAUAACUGUGUGAAUGUCCACAAACUGGAAGACUUUCUGAGUGCAUAUAAGCGGUAGACUAUUUUAGAAAGGAACAAUUAAAAAAAAAAAAAAAUAAAAAAAAAAAGAGAAAGGAAUUUACACCACGAUGCCUCCUUCAUUAGCGCUCACAUCAUAGCGCUGUUCUCCGUUUCUCAUGCGUGCUCACUACUCCUCACACAAACCUGUCCCAAUAGUCCCGCCCCUUACACAGUGAUGUUACUCUGAAUUGGCUCAAGUACUAACACAACCAAAAGCAAAACGGGAAUUAAAUGAUUGACAGGUGACAGACUAGGUUACACAGAUAAACACAGCUUCUUCUUCUCUACUUUUCUCUCAGAUGAAACGUAAAAACUUAUAUGAAUUUAACUUUAACUGUAAAUAGUCUUAUUUAUUAAACUCUACAUAUUAUAUUUAUACUUUUAACCAGCACACCUUUUACCCAAUUUUAACUAACAUGAACUAUUUAUGAACUUUUCUUUUUUCUUUGUGUGUGUAUAGGUUACAAGCUAAAUUGACCUGUUUCCCUUACACUAUAUACCGUGAUUAAAGGAUUAUCAAUCGCAACAUGAAAAGUUGAUACUGGCAUAUCCCUAAUGGGGACAUAAAAUUGUUAAGAGUUGGAAAUCAUUGAAAAGAUUGAGUUAUAUGUGAGUAUAAACAAUGACAGCUAGUUAGUACUGUAGAUAAGUUUACCUGUUCAUUGUUUAAUAUCCACUGCAACCUCCUUAAUCCCAUUUAGUCACUUGUUAGUUUUUCAAGACAUUGUAAAAAUCACAAGAAGGGAAUUACUGAUGCUUUUUAUGUGGCAGAAUAAAACCAUAUCUUGAACUUAGAAAAAAAAAAAAAAAACAGAUUUAUGGUAAACUGAAAUAUACUUUAAUAUAAUUUCUAUUGCAAGUUGUAUCUUAAUAAUUUAAAUGAAUUUGUAAUUACACAUUUGUAAUGAUGAGGUUGCAAUUUCAAACAUUUGAAAUAUACUAACUUUUAAAGGGGUCAUCGGAUGCAAAUUUCACUUUUACAUGUUGUUUGAACAUAAAUGUGUGUUGGCAGUGUGUGUACACAACCACCCUAUAAUGAUAAAAAUCCACCCAGUAGUAUUUUUUUUUUAAUCGCUGUAAAUAAUAUCCCCUUUUUCAAAUCAGGCCGUUCUCUGAUUCUUGGCUGUGUGACGUCACACAGACCAAGGCCCCUCCUACGAUUGUAGAUUGACAUGGCUGUCUUACCGCCCUGUGUGAGCUGUCAUCCGUCCACCAUUGUUUCGACACCGGAGUAGAUGUAGACAAGAAUGUCUCCUAAGCGAUUGAGGUGUUUUGUUGUUGGAUGUAAUAAUGAACAUAGCAGUCGUCAUUUAUUCCAGACAUCUGAGCCACUGAAGAUGCAGAGGAUUGCAUUUUUUUCUGAAGGAAAUGCACCUCACAAUCUGCAUAAAUGCGUUUAUGUUUGCGCGAAUCAUUCGUGAUCCAGUUUCACCAACCAAAGAAGUGAGUAUAAGGUUUUUUUUUUUUCUUAAUAAUAUGCUAGUUAGCAACUUUUGUGGCUAGUAAACAGUACUGCUCCUCACCCCACAUGAGAGAGGGGCGGGGUGAGCAGAGCUCAUUAGCAUUUAAAGAGACAUGCAACAAAAUGGUUUGCUGUGAAAGGAGGUGAUUUUGACAAGGUAAAAAGGGUGUUGUUUUACACUACUAUUGAGAAAUGUUAACCAAAGUAUGUCAUAGAAUUUUCAUUAAGACCCUAAAGAAUCAUAUCAACUUGUGGAAAAUCGGUAUCCGAUGACCCCUUUAAUAUAAUAUUGAGUAGCUUAUUACAGUUAAAAAUUGUAAUCAAGUACUUUACAGCUGCUUUAGUAUGUUAGUCAACACAUCACGAUAAGUGUAAUUCUUUAAAGCACAACAAAAUUGAUUAAAACCAUAAUUUAAAAAGUGUUUGACAUUACGAUUUUAAAGUGUACUUAAGUGUGUUAAGAAGCUUAAUCAGCCUUUUAUUUCAUUGAUAUUAUAUUAUCUGCAAGUUCAGUUUUCUAAAAAUAUGCUUUUAAGAUUUAAAGUACAAGUGCACAUUCAAUACAAUAAAGUGCACUUCUUCUUCUUUUAUUUUCGCAAGGGUAGUUCACCCAAAAAUUGAUACUCUAUCAAGAUUUACUCAUCCCCAUGUCAUUCCAAACCUGUAUGACUUCUGUGUAACACAAAAGAAGAUAUUUUGAAAAAUGUGUCACUGAAAAGUCCCCACUGACUUUCCUUGCAUGGAAAAAAAACAGCAGAAAGUUGAAAGCUUAAUUCUUUGUAGCUGACAUUACAUUGUCAAUACAUCUUAACAGUGAAGUGUGAUUUUUGGCAAACUUGCUUUACUUAUCUAUUGUUUGCUAUUCUCACUAGUUUUUGCGGUCUGGGUCUAUCAGCACUGGAGCAGGAGCAAAAUCUUGAAUAGGUUGUGACAGCAUGUUUGGGGACACAAACAUAAAGGUAUCAGGGUUCGUUUGGCAUUUAAAGAUCUACAGGGAGUGGCUUAAAAACUGUUAGCUUCCAUUUAAAAAUCAGCUGCCGGGUGCAAACCUCUUGCGGUUUCUGCUGAGUCUGGAAAACGCACGUGCAAGCCAGACGAGAGGGAGCGUAACUCUGCCCUCAAAGGCUUCCUUAAAUCCGCAUAAUCACCCCAGGCUGUUCUGGCUUCUCCUCUGGAGGAGGACACUUAUAUUUGACGUUGGUUGGCCAGUCAUCUAUCUACUCAUUAUUUUUUUUCCUUUGUUGUCCUUUUUUAGACUCACCAAAAUCUAAAUAAUCACAGAGCAGCUGUUCACAGUGAUAUCACAAACAGCAGAUGAAGAUUUAAAUCUGUCAUUAUAUCUGGAGCGCUGAGUAUAUUCAGAGCCAUUAUUAGAUCUGAUUUCAUGCUAAGUGUCUGAUUAGCUUCUUUGCCAGUCAUAAGUUGAGCUCCUACCACUGUGCAAAUAACAUGGUCUUUUAAAACUGACAAUUAUAUGCAAGAUAUUAAACCACUAGGAAGAAUAAUUAUAAAUGCAAUUUUAAAAAACUCACUGUGAUAUCAAAUAUGAUACUGCACACCACAAGUUCCUGACGUCUUGCCUUAAUAAAAGCAUUUUGCAAAAUAUGUCAAAC
rnacentral:lncRNA from 1 species